UGUUAAAACUUUCAUCUAUUUCUACUGUUAAAAAUUGGCGUGAUUGACAAAAUAACUAGAUAACUACACAUGGCAUGCUACGUGUACCUUAUGCUGACGUGCAGGGACUAGUUUCUAAUAAUAAAAAUGGAUGGAAUUGUUGAUU
rfam:Gossypium raimondii Chr10_contig_21, whole genome shotgun sequence.